rnacentral:rRNA from 1 species
GACGAACGCUGGCGGCGUGCUUAACACAUGCAAGUCGAACGGAAAGGCCCUGCUUUUGUGGGGUGCUCGAGUGGCGAACGGGUGAGUAACACGUGAGUAACCUGCCCUUGACUUUGGGAUAACUUCAGGAAACUGGGGCUAAUACCGGAUAGGAGCUCCUGCUGCAUGGUGGGGGUUGGAAAGUUUCGGCGGUUGGGGAUGGACUCGCGGCUUAUCAGCUUGUUGGUGGGGUAGUGGCUUACCAAGGCUUUGACGGGUAGCCGGCCUGAGAGGGUGACCGGCCACAUUAGGACUGAGCUACGGCCCAGACUCCUACGGGAGGCAGCAGUGGGGAAUAUUGCACAAUGGGCGGAAGCCUGAUGCAGCAACGCCGCGUGCGGGAUGACGGCCUUCGGGUUGUAAACCGCUUUCGCCUGUGACGAAGCGUGAGUGACGGUAAUGGGUAAAGAAGCACCGGCUAACUACGUG